UUGAGUACUUAGACGACAGUGCUACAAUUAAUAAUACACCAAAUAAUCAAACCUACAGGGCUAUAUUAUUUUAUUUUCACUUGUUUUUUUUUAUAAUAAUUUAAAAAUAAUAUGGCAAGUAAAACGAAUAAAAUUAAACGCCCAACAAGAAAAUAUAUAAGUCGUAAACUUAUAUUAAAACGAUAUAAUAAAAACAAAAGUCAUUUGUAAUUUUCAAACCAACUGACACCAAUACCCUGGAGAAGAAAAAUAAAAAAUAAAAAGAAACCAUCGCAUACGGACGAACGUUACCAACGACUGCUGGAUGAAGGUAUAACGACCGCAAUGACGGAAGUCAUACCACACCAGGUUAACAUCUACUAAAAAAACGUCAUCAUGCUAUGGAUGAGGAACUCGGCGGUGACGACGAGUUAUUCACGAUAUGCCAUAUGGUGGACAUCGAUCACAUCCCUGAACCUGAUUUCAUCCUCAGCUCUCAAACACAAGGCCCAGGAGUCUAAGCACUCAACUCUUAGAGGAGGGUUUGAAUAGUAGAUUGACUUACUAUAAUGAUUGUAUAGAUUAAGUAUUAAAUAUUAAAUCAUUGAAAAUUGUAUGUA